GACAAACGCUGGCGGCGUGUAUUAGGCAUGCAAGUCGCACGGACCUUCGGGUCAGUGGCGGACGGGUGAGUAACACGUGGGUAACCUGCCCUACAGUGGGGAAUAACCCGUCGAAAGACGGGCUAAUACCGCAUAUUACUCUCGGGUGAGAACCCGAGAAGUAAAAGCAGUAAUGCGCUGUAGGAGGGGCCCGCGGCCGAUUAGCUAGUUGGUGAGGUAACGGCCCACCAAGGGCGACGAUCGGUAGCUGGUCUGAGAGGAUGGUCAGCCACACGGGGGACUGAGAUACGGCCCGACUCCUACGGGAGGCUG
rnacentral:rRNA from 1 species